rnacentral:tRNA from 1 species
GGGGGUAUAGCUCAGUGGUAGAGUGCCUGCCUAGCAUGCAUGAGGUCCUGGGUUCAAUCCCCAGAACCUCUA